AAAGUCGAGGACAACGAUCUCAUAUCGCAGCUCCUCUCAGGAUUGGAUGAGGAUUAUAAUCUGUUUGUUCUAUCCAUUGCAGCAAGAACUGAUGCCUACUCCCUGAGCGAACUCUAUGCUCAAAUUCUUGCCUUCGAAG